AGCGAACGCUGGCGGCAGGCCUAACACAUGCAAGUCGAACGAAGCCUUCGGGCUUAGUGGCGGACGGGUGAGUAACACGUGGGAACGUACCUUUUGGUUCGGAACAACUCAGGGAAACUUGAGCUAAUACCGGAUGAGCCCUUAGGGGGAAAGAUUUAUCGCCGAAAGAGCGGCCCGCGUUAGAUUAGCUAGUUGGUGAGGUAAAGGCUCACCAAGGCAACGAUAUAUAGCUGGUCUGAGAGGAUGAUCAGCCACACUGGGACUGAGACAUGGCCCAGGCUUCUACGGGAGGUAGCAGUGGGGAAUCUUGGGCAAUGGGCGAAAGCCUGACGCAGCCAUGCCGCUUGAAUGAUGAAGGUCUUAGGAUUGUAAAAUUCUUUUACCAGGCAUGAUAAUGACGGUCCCUGGACAAAAAGCCCCGGCUAACUUCGUAACAGCAGCCGCCGUAAAAC
rnacentral:rRNA from 1 species